rnacentral:lncRNA from 1 species
AAUUUCUAUAUGCCUAUUAUGAAUCUGCACCCCCUGGGAGCGAUAAACCUGUUGGAUUUUAUUAACCAAAGAGAUUCGGCUUUGCGCUAUAGUUAGCUCAGCACCAAUCAAGAAUCCCCAAGGAAUUCCAAGAAUUCUUGGUAUACAUUUGUUCCAACCCUCAACCCUCUUUUCUAGAUUCAUGGAUAUUGAAUCAAUCGAACGCACUUCUAAGACCUGUUCUACUUUUGGAAGACCCUGUGUUAUAUCACCAGAUCUCGAUUUUUCAUAUAUAAAUGUAACUAAUGUAUCUCCUUCGUAAAGGGUUUCCCCAUAAUGGCCAUGAACAGUUGCUCCGGGGGUGGCCAAAUAAGGCUUAGCUGAUCGUAUCACUAUCGAGUCAACUUGAACAAGUAUAACUUGACCCGAUUUGAGGGGCGGUCCAUUUUUGGCUAUACAUACAUUUUCACAAAUAAACUGUCCAAGACUAAUUAUUUUAGAUGUCUCUGCACAAUAAUAGUGAUGGAGAAAAGACCAAUUCAAAUUGAAUGGAUUUAAAAUAAUGUUACGGCAUGGAUCGGGAUUAAAAAUUUUUCCAUUUUCAUCCAUUAAAUAAUAUUUUAAUUUAAUCACUUGAAAAGUCUGUUUUAAAUUGUCAAGUUGCAAAUAUUUAGUUACUAAGAUCUGAUUAUGAGUUAUUAAAUGGUAAGAUGAAUAAAAAUUCUCAAUUGGAAGGCAUGUUCCUAAAGGGCCCAAUGAAUUCCUAAUUGGAAUUAGGGGAUCUUUUUUAAUUGAUUCUUUUAUCACACUGUGAUAUUUUACAUCUUUGAAUGGCUCCAUUCGAGAACAAUUGGCUGCUGACAAAAUUAUCAACGACUGACAUUCCUUAUUUCUAUUCAACAACGUAUGAAUAGUUCCUUGAGGUUGGUUAAGAGAUUGUUGAAUUUUUGCCUUGGAAUAGGAAUAAAUAGCAGAAAAGGGAUUGAUAUUGGUACAAUCCGAUCCAUUAUCAGAGAGCAAUCCUGACCCCGACGGAUCAUUCCUUUUUCCGAUAUACGAAAUAGGGGAUUUCACUAAGUUGAUUUUUAGGAAAUGUCGAAUCAAACCAUUUGUCCUUAUUUCAACAAAAGAAGCACGGGCUUCUUCGCAAGAAGAACUUUUUUUGUCUUGGUUCCAAUUCAAUACUAAACAAGUCCGAACUAAUUGAAUACUUGUGUCAGAAAUUCCUCGAAUCGGUUUGCCAUUUCCAUAAAGGAUAUAAUUGACAAUUCGAAGUUGCACAUUAUCCCUUUCCUGCAAUGGAUCCGGUGGAAAAAGGGUUCCUAAAUUUAUACCGUCCGUUAUUUCAUAUGUGACGACAGGUCGAACUAAAACAAAAAACCUUUUCUUACUAGGUGUAAUUCGUUGGACAUAGAUCCAAUUUUGAACUUUUUUGUAUUCCUUGGAAUUUCUUUUUCCUGUUCCUGGUGGUAUCAAAACGCCGGUAUGCCUGGAUAUCUUAUCCGUCUCUCCAGGAAAAUGGAUAUCUCCAGAAAAGAUUUUCAGUUCAAUUCGUUUUUUUUUUCUCUCCACCCGGACCAACCCACCGACUCGGCUUCUUAGAUUUAAGGUGAUUUGUGUAUCGACCCCAACGAUACUAUUGUUCCGUACCAUUAGGGAAGAAGAUCCGGGCAAGAUAUGCACCUCUUCAGGAAUGAAAAAAAAUCGAUCUACUUUCAUUUGGUAUUUUGGCCUAAAUUCCUUGACUCCUCGAUACUCAAUCAAAUCCUCUUUUUUGAUGACUGAAUGCGUUUCUAUAGUCCCAUAUUUAAUAAUGCCCGAACUCUUUCUUCUGUAUCGAGGAUCAUCGAAAUAAGCAAGAAUACUAUUUCGACGGAAAAUACCAUUUACGGGGAUUUCAAUCGAGAUACCUGAACAGGGCAUUAGUUCAUUCUCGAGUUCUUGAAUCGAGUGUAGUGGAAUGAUGAAUUUAUUUCUUCGCCUUUUUGACAAUAAAGCAGAAUUCCCGUGAAGAAUAGGCGAAUAUACGAGAUUAUACUGGCCAGUACAUAUGAUUCGAUUAAGGUCUGAAUAAUCAGGAAUCCUAUCUUCUUUUUGACCAUAAAAAUCCGAACUAAACAAUUUCUGCCUCGCCUGAUCAUUGGUUACUGAGAGGUUAGAAGUAUAUCUUCGCUUGCCAGAAAGAGAAUGCGCAUUCAUUUGAUCCUGAUCCUUGUGGAUCGAAAGGUAGACUAGACUGGACCUGCACGGCCCUCCUAAUAAUAUCCAUAAAUGACUUGUUUUUGGUAAUAGAUGAACAUUACCAUAUGUAAAUUCGGGUGCAUGAUAGACAUCGGUACUCCAGUGCAUUUCUCCGUCUGAAUCAGAAUAAAUAUGUUUUCGAACCUUCUCUUUAAAAUUCAAAGUGGAUAUUCCUGCGCGAAUCUCAGCAAUUACUUGUUCUGAUUCUACGUAUUGAUCGUUUUGAACUAAAAGCAAACUUUUGGGUGGAAUAUUCACAUUAUGUAGAAUAUCUUCACUC